UGGUAGAUGCACCCUGAUAACUUGCUCCCCUAGUUAACUGUCGGUUGCUAGGGGAUUUUUUU
rfam:Fischerella sp. JSC-11 ctg118, whole genome shotgun sequence.